AUACGGAGGGGGCUAGCGUUGUUCGGAAUUACUGGGCGUAAAGCGCGCGUGGGCGGGCUGGUUAGUUGGGGGUGAAAUCCCAGGGCUCAACCCUGGAACUGCCCUCAAUACUGCCAGUCUUGAGUUCGAGAGAGGUAAGUGGAAUUCCUAGUGUAGAGGUGAAAUUCGUAGAUAUUAGGAAGAACACCAGUGGCGAAGGCGGCUUACUGGCUCGAUACUGACGCUGAGGCGCGAAAGCGUGGGGAGCAAACAGGAUUAGAAACCCCAGUAGUCC
rnacentral:rRNA from 1 species